AUUGAACGCUGGCGGCAUGCCUUACACAUGCAAGUCGAACGGUAACAGGUCUUCGGAUGCUGACGAGUGGCGAACGGGUGAGUAAUACAUCGGAACGUGCCUAGUAGUGGGGGAUAACUACUCGAAGGAGUGGCUAAUACCGCAUGAGAUCUACGGAUGAAAGCAGGGGAUCGCAAGACCUUGUGCUACUAGAGCGGCCGAUGGCAGAUUAGGUAGUUGGUGGGAUAAAAGCUUACCAAGCCGACGAUCUGUAGCUGGCCUGAGAGGACGAUCAGCCAAACUGGGACUGAAAGACGGCCCAGACUCCAACGGAAGGCAGCAGUGGGGAAUUUUGGACAAUGGGCGCAAGCCUGAUCCAGCAAUGCCGCGUGCAGGAUGAAGGCCUUCGGGUUGUAAACUGCUUUUGUACGGAACGAAAAGCCCCGGGUUAAUACCCUGGGGUCAUGACGGUACCGUAAGAAUAAGCACCGGCUAACUACGUGCCAGCCGCCGCGGUAA
rnacentral:rRNA from 1 species